AGACUCAACCCCUCGGGUUUCCGAGAAGGUUGGAUUUGGACGCUUGCCUGUCAUGGGCUCGUCUUAAAGGUCUUAGCGGUUACACAGCACCGUAGUCGGCGUAAUAAGUUUCGUCGAUGAGGGUGUGGUGUCUGCUUACAAUCGCCUCACGGCAAUCUUUUGA
rnacentral:misc_RNA from 1 species